GGAAGAAGUGUAUUCAGCAUUCUACCUUCUUCCUGAUUCUGUGAGCUUAGACCUGCUUCCACUUUCAAUCUCUCUCAUUGCAGGCUGAAGAGGACUGGCCUUUCAGUGGCCCUCGUGGAACGGUAGGAAGCUGAGCUGGACUCUCUGCCACAUCGUUCGGUUCCCACAACAGCCUGAUGAAGCAGCAGCAGAAAAAAUGGAAGCCAUUUUGGUUAACGGGUCACAUCUUAGCAGUUGGCAGCGUAAGAAGCGGAAGGAUCCACUGGUCAGAAAUGGAGAUUGAGGAGAAGCUGAGAGCACGGAGGGCUUCAGGGGAGAGCCUGUCCUUUGGAAAAGCGGGCAAUUUGCACUCGUGGUAGAUGAGUGGGGAGGCCGCUCAGUCUCUCUGCCCCUUUGCACAUGCUGCACCCGUUUAGUUUGACGUCGUGGAGAGCUCCUCCAGGCACGGGCUGUGUGAAAGGGUUUAAAAGUUUGGGGGCAUGGCUGGGGGUCCCCGCAUGAGGGGUGCUGUGUAGGCUCCCAUCUUUUCUGCCGGUCAUGCUGGGAGCCAACAGCACCGGCUCCUGACGUGGGGACUUGCCCUGUGCCAUGACGUGGGGACUCGCCCUGUGCCCUGCGCCCCGGUUCCUGCUGGUUCUGUGCCUUCUGGACUCAUUUCCUUUCCAGGGUCCGCAACCGCUUCCGACACAAUCACUAUUUUGGCUGCGGCCACGGCUUCAUUCGCUUCAGCUGCGAGCUUUUCUCAGCGCAGAGAGCACAGGGAAGCUGGGAGGAGUCCGCCUAGAUGGUCGUUUUCAGUGAGAGGAUUGGCAUGAAGAAUCCUUGGGACACAGGAAUCAAUCAAGACCUUUGGAUGCCCCUGCCUGCUCUGUCUCUAGAAGCCUCAAGCCCAGCAUCCCCAUGCCGACGUGCUCAUCUCUAGCAAAACACCAGCCUCUCAGCCCUCUCUCCAUAAAGGCCACUAGAAAGUACUGUGAUGCCAGGCUGCUCCACAUCCAGGCAGCCUGGGUGACCACUGCCCUUUAUGAGAAUCAGAAAAAGCUGUCUCCCGAGUAGUUGGAAUUACAGGUGCAUGCCACCAUGCCUGGCUAAUUUUUGUAUUUUUAGUAGAGAUGGAGUUUCACUAUGUUGGCCAGGCUGCUCUUGAACUCCUGACCUCAAAUGAUCCACCCGACUCGGCCUCCCAAAGAGCUGGAAUUACAGGAGAAGCUAAACGUUUUAAAAUAAGUAUAUUAUUUCUGAAUUACUAUAACAGACAUGGACUCCAUUUGAACAAGAUACUUAAUUCCAUCAAAAACUUGUCAAAAUAUACAAAUUUAGUCACAAGACACUUUACUACCAUCUACCAAAGCUGUAGUAAACACACACAUUUUCCAUCUUUGAAAUGAAAUAACGUAUAAUAAUGUUUUCCAAAAUAACAAAGAUGUCUGCAGUGAAUAGCACUCCCUUUGAUGUGGCAACUGGGUCAAUCGUGUUAACAACUGUGAAUUCAUCUUUUUAAGAAAUUCUUUUAUUGUUUCUUUUCUUUUCCGCGACAGUCUCACUCGUGUUGCCCCGGCUGGAGUGCAGUGGCGCUAUCUUGGCUCACUGCAGCCUCCGCCUCCCGGGUUCAAGCAAUUCUCAUGCCUCAGCCUCCUGAGUAGCUGGGAUUAUAGGCACGUGCCACCACACCCAGCUAAUUUUUUUGUAUUUUUAGUAGAGACGGGGUUUGACCAUGUUGGUCAGGGUGGUCUCGAAUUCCUGACCUCAGUUGAGCCGCCGGCCUCGGCCUCCCAGGAAGUGCUGGGAUUACAGGCAUGAGCCACCAGGCCCGGCCUUAUUGUUUCUAUUUGUAAUAAAUCUGUUCCCCUUGC
rnacentral:lncRNA from 10 species